GUAUCUUGAGUCAACCCAUUGAGUGCAGUGGUAAUAUCUAGAUAUCGAGAUAUUACCACUGCAUUCAAUGGGUUGACUCAAGUCUUUAAAC